rnacentral:rRNA from 1 species
UACAGAGGUCUCAAGCGUUGUUCGGAUUCAUUGGGCGUAAAGGGUGCGUAGGCGGCGCGGUAAGUCGGGUGUGAAAUCUCGGAGCUUAACUCCGAAACUGCAUUCGAUACUGCGGUGCUUGAGGACUGGAGAGGAGACUAGAAUUCAUGGUGUAGCAGUGAAAUGCGUAGAUAUCUGACAGGAACGACCCGUGGCGAAAGCGGCGCGCU